UCCAAAAUUUUCUUUUUCCCCUGAUUUCUUAAAAAAACUCUAACUUUUGCCCUUUCUUCCCCGAUUUUCUCCAAUAGUUCCGUUCGUGCGCCGCUCCGUCUCACGAUUUGCUCUGCUUUCGUCAAAUUGUCUGUUCGUCCAUUCGUCCAUUCGUCCAUCGCUUCAUUUCCUCCACAGCCACCGCGCACGGCUGAGGACAGUCACGUCAAACCAUCCAUUCAUUUUCACCACAGUCACCGUCCAUUCAUCCAUUCGUUUCCUCCACGAAGCUCUUGUAUCCCUGGGUUUUGUGAAAUUUCAAAUUCUUGUGCUUGCUUGUACUGGAAUGGGAUGGGUAUAAGGAACUACGGAAAUGUUGCUACUCUCCUUCACUAACAUAUGUGUAUGCUUGAUGAUGUGACGUCCUUCCUCUUGUUAAUGCACUUUGUGCAAUCUACUUGCGUCUUUUGCUUCCUCUUGUUAAAUAUUUUGAUGCUUUAAUAUUUAUCUAAAUUGAAAUGCUUUAAUAUUUCCUCUGUGAUUUAGUUGUUAUUUGCUUUCAUUCUUGUUUCCAUAUGCACUCCCAUGUAGAGUUUGUUCUUUUGAGCGCUAGUUUCUUCUGUUUCAUCAAUUAAAAGUUUUGUUUCUUCUUCAAGCUAUAUCUUUAUCUUCUUUAUGAAUCUAAUUUAUGGAUUAUGGAUAUGUGUGGUACAAUGUUUUAUUACAAGUAACUUCAAUCUAGAAUAGAAAGAAAGAACAGAAAGCUAAUUGUGAUUCUCUUUGGUUCGCUUAUUACAAGUCUUUGGUUUGCUUAUCUUCUUAUCUUGUUUAUUUAGGAAUUUUUGUUUUCCUAUAAUGCAUUAGUCACGUUUUACAUACUUGCUUGUUUAGAUACGUCAAAACGUGAAAGACUUGUUGUUGGCUUUCAAGCUUGGGAAUGGAAAGAGUUCAGAAAAAGACGUUGCAGAUUUAUCCAAGUUGGUGGUGAAAUGAAAUUUGUGCUUUCAAGCCAUUUAGAUUUUCCUACAGAGAGUCGUCAGAUGGAUAGGAAGUAUAGCCGAGAAUCGUCAGAUGAGGAUGUAGUGAAAUGUAACAGGAGAACAAGCAGAGAUAAUGACAGACAAGAUAGAGACAAAAGACAUCAGGACAAAAAUUUGCACAGAGAAGUAGAGAGAGGAAAAUCUAAAUGGAGAUUCGUGAUUAGAAUUAAAUAAUUUGCGUGAGUCGUCCAACGCUGUAAAGCUGGUGUGAGAUUUUCUUCUUAAUUUUGGUGUCUAUUAUGCAACUAGAGCUCUCUUGGACUUACAUUUGAGUGGAGGUUGUUGCUUCAAGAAUUAUUCGGUGAAACUUAUUGGGAAGCUUCGUGAAGUAUUUAACACUCGAAAAGACGAAAUUAUUGAGGGUCGAAACAUAAUUUUAAUGUUUAAUAGUCCUAUAGUUAGUUAUUUUAUUUAUCUUUAUAAAUUGAGCGUAGUUUGUGGAGAGACAUUAAUAGCCAUACUAUUCUUAUUCUCUUACUGGUGGUUUGAAUUAGUUAAUUGUUAUGUUUAUUGAAAGUUGAGUUGUCGUGUAUAUAAAUAUUAUAUUAAUUAGACAUAGAGCUAAGUAGAACAAUUUCUUCCUACGAUAGAAGUUUGUGCUAUUGUAAGUUGUAAUGCCAUUGGAUUACUUUAUAGCUAUAAUUAAUUUGAGUUGAUGGGAAUAUAAUUAGUUUUUUGAUAGAAA